rnacentral:rRNA from 1 species
ACAACCAGGAUGUUGGCUUAGAAGCAGCCACUCAUUAAAAGAGUGCGUAAUAGCUCACUGGUCGAGUGACUCUGCGCGGAAAAUAUAACGGGGCUAAGCGUAACACCGAAGCUUGGGCUGCACAGCAAUGUGCGGGGUAGGGGAGCGUCGAAUAUGGGGUGAAGUCGCAGCGGAAGCAGCGGUGGACUGUAUUCGAGUGAGAAUGCCGGAAUGAGUAGCGAGAAUUAUGUGGGAAUCAUAAUGGCCGAAAAUCUAAGGUUUCUUGGGGAAGGUUCGUCCGCCCAAGGUAAGCCGGGAGCUAAGGCGAGGCCGAAAGGCGUAGUCGAUGCACAUACGGUUGAAAUUCCGUAGCCACCGAAACUUAAACCAGAAGGACACUUGGAGCUAUCCGAACCCGGGCGUUGGUUGACCCGGGCGUAAGGGACCGAAAUUAAGUAGGGAAGUCGGAGAAUGACGAGGCGAGAAAAGUUCUGGUGUAUGCUAAGGUGCCCGUACCGCAAACCGACACAGGUAGAUGAGGAGAGAAUCCUAAGGCCAACGGGAGAAGGGUUGUUAAGGAACUCGGCAAGUUGACCCCGUAACUUCGGAAUAAGGGGAGCCUCGCAAGAGGCCGCAGUGAAAAGGCCCAAGCAACUGUUUACCAAAAACACAGGUCUAUGCUAAAUCGAAAGAUGACGUAUAUGGGCUGACGCCUGCCCGGUGCUGGAAGGUUAAGAGGAGAGCUUAGCGCAAGCGAAGGUUUGAAUUGAAGCCCCAGUAAACGGCGGCCGUAACUAUAACGGUCCUAAGGUAGCGAAAUUCCUUGUCAGGUAAGUUCUGACCCGCACGAAUGGCGUAACGAUUUGGGCGCUGUCUCAACAGCCCACCCGGCGAAAUUGUAGUACUGGUGAAGAUGCCAGUUACCCGCAACUAGACGGAAAGACCCCAUGGAGCUUUACUGUAGCUUAAUACUGGAAAUCGGUAAAUCAUGUACAGGAUAGGUGGGAGACUUGGAAGCCAGGGCGUCAGCUUUGGUGGAGUCACCCUUGGGAUACCACCCUUGAUUUGCUGGUUUUCUAACCUGCGGCCGUGAAUCCGGUCGGGGGACACUGUUAGGUGGGCAGUUUGACUGGGGCGGUCGCCUCCAAAAAGGUAACGGAGGCGCUCAA